UGUUGCUCAGGCUUAGUAUUUUAAUUCACACUACAAUAUAAAGAAUCCUUUCAGUGCCUGAAACGUUAAUAGGUAGAAUUUGUGCAGGCAUUGUAAGAAGCGCUUCAUAAUUACCUCACUCACUAACCAUCCCCAAGAAACUGUAAUUAUCCCCAUUAUAUAGUUAGGGACAAUGAGGUUUAGGGGAGGUUAAGUAACUUGUCCAAGGUUGAUAUAGGAUAGAGCCCAGCCUCACUCAUAUGCUUAUAAUUCUUUAUUUUACCACCUCUUUUACUGUUUCCCUAAAUGCCACCAUCUCCUGCCUCAUCCUCUGUCCUGUGAGAAUCAUCUAUGAGCUCCAUUCAGAAUCUUUUUACUUUACACUUCGCUCUAGAAGAUCAAUUUCUUUCCUUUAUUUACAGGUUCUUAACCUAGGAUCUAAGAAAGAACCUUUAGGAGAGGAGCCUUGGGAGAGACAAAUGACUUGAAGUUGUUCAUUUUCAUGUGUAUGAACAGAAGUGCAUUUUUCAGGAAGAGGAGUUCCCACGGUUUUCAUCAGGUUCUCAAGGAAUCUGCGACUGCAAAAUAUUAAACCCGCGACUUGAUUCAAUUUUCAGGGCAGAGAGAAACCUCUCAGAGGCCAUUCAUUCAUUCAUUGGAUUUUGGACAUCACUAUCAACAUGGCCCCAUGUCAAACAUCUGAUUAUGAAGAUGUAAGUUACAUAUACUUUAUGCUCAAGGCUUAAAAUCAAACAAAGCAGAUAAGAUUUAAUUGUAUUAGUAUAGUUGUGAAAUGUAAGGCAGUUUAAAGCCACCUUAAAUUCUUUCUGCUCUAAAGCAGAAAGUGUUAGUAGGAAAGGAGUAAAUAAACAAAUAAAUAACCAAUUUGCAGCACCAGAUAAAUGUUUCCUGGGGAGCGUAAACAAAGAGUCACAGGAGUUUAGAGGCACUGGAGCUGGUUUCCAGCGGGGCUUCCCUGCCCCUGCCCUGCAGCACCACCAGAUCAAUCUUCCUGCCACAGCGCUUUGAUCAUGUCACCGCUCUACUCAGAAAACUUCCAUGACCCUCUGUGGCCUGGCGUCUUUUCCCAUCUGCUAUGGAAGGUAUUUCAUCCAUGUUAUUUCAUCCAUGACACUGUCCCAUUAGAAUUGUGACAUGGUUGAAAGCCCUGGAGUUGUUAUUACCAGACCUGUGUGUGAAUUCUGCUUCUGUUACUUUUUAGCUGAGUGAGCUGGGGCAAUCCUUGUAACUUUCCCAGAUUUAGCUUCUUCAUUUGUCAACUGUUGAUAUUGUCCAUAUCAUGGGUUUGGCAUAAAAUUAAAUGAGAUAAUAUGGGUGAAAGUUCUUUGUUAACUGUAAAGUGUCUUGUGAGCACAUGCACAUAUGAUAUACACCUUUACAAAGGCACUCAGUAAUCACCUAUUUAUAAAUAUGGCUAGUGCUUUCCUGUAAAAUAUGCCUGUAAGUCAUUAUACACCGCCGCCCACCUUGGAGUGGGAUAUUUGUUUUGGGACUCUGAGGGAUGAAAGGAAUUUGAGAAGAAAAUGGGAGAAAGGCAUUUCAGUCUCACAGAGUGGCAUGAGAAUAUGUUAAGAGGUUUUAAGGCCUACAGUGUAUUUGGGGAACAGCAAAUCAUCUGCUUUGCUCAAGUGCAAGGUAUACCCAGAGAAAAAUCUGGAGCUCACCUUGGAAAGAACUGGAAUCAAAUGUGAAGGCUCCCAAAGGCUGGGCCAGGAGGUCUGCGCUCAGGCAAUAGGAGUCAUGGGAGGUUUUUGAGCAGAGAAAUAAUUUCUCAGUCUUCUAAGGGAUGGAUUGAUAGGAAGAUGGUUAGAGGUGAAGAGGGUGCCUGGGAGGCUGUGGCUAGGGCAGGUGUCAAAAGAUCAGUUGCUGAGGCCACAUUCUGACCAAGGAAAUGGAAAGGCAUAAAGAUAAGUUAGUGAGAUUGUUGUGAAAUCAUUGGCUGGAUUUUUGUGUGUGUGUGUGGUCCAUGACUGAACCCUGGGGAAGAGGAAUAAAGACAGAUCGAAGAGGUUUUAAGCUUGAUGGUGAUCUUGGGUUGGAGAAAAUUAGCCUAUUGAGGACCAGAGAACAUGAAGGUGAUGUGUGUGUGGGGUUAUUUAUUUGCCUGGGAUGUGGUGGUAAUGGAAGAGAAAAUAGAAAAUGUAGCCAGCAGUGAUACCUGAACUAGCUAGGGAGGCAGCAGCCUAGGGGUGGGACAGUGCCUCCAGUUGCUCACAAACCUCACUGAUUCCAAAG
rnacentral:lncRNA from 10 species